GUAUGUGAAAUCUCUUAGUUUAAGUUACAAUCAACAUAAAUAAUACUCCAUUUGUUUCUAUAAAAUAAAAAAUAAAACCCUGUUUCAAGAAUAUAUAUAUUUUAUACUUUAUACAAUUUCAAAAAAUUAAUUGUAUUUAUUCAAAUGUGACACUAAAAUUAUAUAAAUUAAUAAAUUAAUAAACAUAAUAAAUUCAUAAUUUUUUCUAGUCUCAAAUUUCAUCGAUGUAAAAUAUGACGUAGUUCAAUAAGAUAAUAAAAUAGUAGUAUUCAGAAAACUCUUAUAUAGAUAAAUAAUAUUAUUGAAAUUUUAUAUUAAUAAUUACUAUAUAUAUAAAUGUUAUAAACAUGCACAAAACAUUUAAAAAAAAAUUCACGUCUAAUUUAAUUUUUCAUUUUACCGAACAAUAUAUAAAAAAUUAUUUGUAUUCUACGAUAUAUAUGCAUUAUAUAUCAAUUCUAUAGAAAUAAAUUAUUUUAAAAUAAUA
rnacentral:lncRNA from 1 species